GACGUAGGAGGCGAGCGUUGUCCGGAUUCAUUGGGCGUAAAGAGCGCGCAGGCGGCUUGGUAAGUCGGAUGUGAAAAUCCGAGGCUCAACCUCGGACGUGCAUCCGAUACUGCUCGGCUAGAGGUAGGUAGGGGAGAUCGGAAUUCCUGGUGUAGCGGUGGAAUGCGCAGAUAUCAGGAGGAACACCGGUGGCGAAGGCGGGUCUCUGGGCAGUAACUGACGCUGAGGAGCGAAAGCGUGGGGAGCGAACAGG
rnacentral:rRNA from 1 species